UUGCCACUUCCUUGUAUGGACAGUGGGGGACUCCAAAGACCGGCUCGGGAGAGGCCCGAAGCCCGGUACCCGGACGUGCUGGGGGAAGCACAAAGGGGCCAACAAGAAGGGGGUGGGGAGGCCUGCCGGUGCAACGAGAUGGAGUGGGCUGGCGCCUCGGGAGAGCGAAUCGAGGGCGGCGGGGCCCAGCUGUGCUGCUGUGUUAACCUGGAGGCAUUAUGGAACAGAGCUGGAAUCUUGCUCCAUUGCCCAGGCUGGAUGCAAUGGUGUGAUUAUAGCUCACUGCAGCCUCAAACUCCUGGGCUCAAGUGACCCUCCUGCCUCAGCCUCCCAAUUCUUUCUACCACACUCCCGAGGAAGCUCCCAUGGACAAAGCCGGAUAAUCCGAAAGGCGUACCUGGAAGACUUUUACACCCGGAUGAUGCAUGAGUGCUAUCAGAUAUGGGCCCAGCUGGAGCACGAGGCUGGAACCCAAUUGCACAGGCAGACUGGAUUACUGCUGCUGGGAAUGAAAGAGAACCAAGAAUUAAAGACAAUCCAGGCCAAUCUGUCGAGGCAGAGGGUAGAACACCAGUGUCUUUCAUCUGAGGAACUGAAGCAACGUUUCCCAAAUAUUCGGUUGCCCAGGGGAGAAGUGGGGCUCUUGGACAAUUCCGGAGGAGUUAUCUAUGCAUAUAAGGCCCUCAGAGCCCUGCAGGAUGCAAUUCGACAGCUAGGAGGCAUAGUGCGUGACGGAGAGAAGGUGGUGGAGAUAAACCCAGGGCUACUGGUCACGGUGAAAACCACCUCCAGGAGCUACCAAGCUAAGAGCUUGGUCAUCACAGCAGGUCCUUGGACCAACCAGCUCCUCCGUCCCCUGGGCAUUGAGCUGCCUCUCCAGACCCUGCGGAUCAACGUGUGUUACUGGCGAGAGAUGGUUCCUGGGAGCUAUGGUGUGUCCCAGGCCUUUCCGUGCUUCCUGUGGCUGGGCUUGUGUCCCCACCACAUCUACGGACUGCCCACAGGAGAGUACCCAGGGCUGAUGAAGGUCAGCUAUCACCACGGCAACCACGCAGACCCUGAGGAGCGGGACUGCCCCACAGCACGCACAGACAUCGGAGACGUCCAGAUCCUGAGCAGCUUUGUCAGAGAUCACUUACCUGAUCUGAAGCCCGAGCCUGCUGUCAUUGAGAGCUGCAUGUACACGAAUACCCCUGAUGAGCAGUUCAUUCUCGAUCGCCACCCAAAGUAUGACAACAUUGUCAUUGGUGCUGGAUUCUCCGGGCACGGGUUCAAGCUGGCCCCUGUGGUGGGGAAGAUCCUGUAUGAAUUAAGCAUGAAAUUAACACCAUCUUAUGACUUGGCACCUUUUCGAAUCAGCCGUUUCCCAAGCCUGGGCAAAGCCCACCUUUGACCUCUGGCCAGAAGCCUCCCUUCUGUGCACAGGAGCCAGUUUCACAGAUGGAGAAGAUGUCUCAGAUGAAGGGAGUGUCCCUGAGAUAUCAUCCUUUUCUUCUGCCUCGCCUGAAUCCCCCAUAAACACCAGAUGAUUGAGUCUACCUUCUUUCCUUGGCCCGCUCCCUUUUUCUUCUGCCUCACUUGAAUCCCCCGUAAACACCAGACGAUUGAGUCUACCUUCUUUUCUUGGCCACCUCCCCAUUCACAACUACUUUCUCGCUCCCAGAAGGUUGAUCAGAUAUUCUACAAUCACAGAGUAGCAAGGACCUUUGAGAUGGGUAUAUCAGUAAGAAGAGGGCACAAGAACUGGCUCUGGAGACCAAAGCAGUUGUUA
rnacentral:sRNA from 1 species